UUUUCUCAACAGUAACUGCAAUGAAUUUGCUUUAGAAGUUGAAAUAUGGCAGAAACAUAUUUUUAACUAGCCUAAAGUUCAAAGACACAUUAUAUAUG